AUGGAGGUAGAUCUUUGUUCUCCAAGGCCGAGAUACAUUUUCAUGUUGCUCUUUUUUUUUUUUGAAACGGAGGCAAAAUAUUUGCCUCAUCGAUUAAUUAAGAAGAAGAGAAUUGCCCAGUUAAUUUUCGAAAAACCGAGCGAAAACCGAUACAAACAACCCGAAACAGGCUACUCGGGAAGCACGAAACACCGUGACCACACAGACAACCCGUCACAUGCUCCUAACACACAACAAUCAUACCUCACCACACUUGCACAACUCAACAGAACCCUGACAAGAUCACCAACAACGAUGACUCGGACAAUCAAAGCAACAUCGACAACACAAGAAACUAAGCAUCAUCCAUCAAGAAACCGCAGACGCUUUCCCAUUAGCGCACACACCGGCCACAUCAAUAUCCUCAACCACAUGCACCUCCGACCCGAAGGACUCAGAAGACGCAUGAUCAUCCUUAGGUUGGAUGUGGCUCAUAAAUCCAGAACACUUGCUCCUCAUGAGCUUGACACCCGCUCUAGGCUCAAGAGGAGAUUGAUUAGCUUGAUUGUGCUUGAGCGCACGUGGAAGAAGCAAUGUUCCUGGAUCAAAAACUUAAAGGAAGUGGACACAAAUACAAAAUUCUUCCAUCUUACGGUAAAUGCCUGGAGAAGGAAAACACAUUCAUCGACCUAUAACUGUUGA
rnacentral:rRNA from 1 species